rnacentral:rRNA from 1 species
GAUGAACGCUGGCGGCGUGCCUAAUACAUGCAAGUAGAACGCUGAAGGAAGGAGCUUGCUCUUUCCGGAUGAGUUGCGAACGGGUGAGUAACGCGUAGGUAACCUGCCUGGUAGCGGGGGAUAACUAUUGGAAACGAUAGCUAAUACCGCAUAACAGUAGAUGUUGCAUGAUAUCUACUUAAAAGGUGCAAUUGCACCACUACCAGAUGGACCUGCGUUGUAUUAGCUAGUUGGUGAGGUAACGGCUCACCAGGGCGACGAUACAUAGCCGACCUGGAAGGGUGAGCGGCCACACUGGGACUGAGACACGGCCCAGACUCCUACGGGAGGCAGCAGUAGGGAAUCUUCGGCAAUAGACGGAAGUCUGACCGAGCAACGCCGCGUGAGUGAAGAAGGUUUUCGGAUCGUAAAGCUCUGUUGUAAGAGAAGAACGAGUGUGAGAGUGGAAAGUUCACACUGUGACGGUAUCUUACCAGAAAGGGACGGCUAACUACGUG